rnacentral:rRNA from 1 species
UACGAAGGGGGCUAGCGUUGUUCGGAAUUACUGGGCGUAAAGCGCGCGCAGGCGGCCUUUCAAGUCAGGGGUGAAAGCCCGGAGCUCAACUCCGGAAUUGCCUUUGAAACUGUCAGGCUCGAGUACGGGAGAGGUGAGUGGAAUUCCCAGUGUAGAGGUGAAAUUCGUAGAUAUUGGGAAGAACACCAGUGGCGAAGGCGGCUCACUGGUCCGGUACUGACGCUGAGGUGCGAAAGCGUGGGGAGCAAACAGG